rnacentral:rRNA from 1 species
GCACUUUCAGUCGUGAGGAAGGGUGGUAGUGUUAAUAGCACUAUCAUUUGACGUUUAGCGACAGAAGAAAGCACCGGCUAACUCCGUGCCAGCAGCCGCCGGUAAUACGGAGGGUGCGAGCGUUAAUCGGAAUUACUGGGCGUAAAGCGCAUGCAGGUGGUUUGUUUAAGUUCAGAUGUGAAAGACCCGGGGCGUCAACCUCGGAAUAGCAUUUGUAAACUAGGCAGACUAGAGUACUGUAGAGGGGGGUAGGAAUUUCAGGUGUAGCGGUGAAAUGCGUAGAGAUCUGAAGGAAUACCGGUGGCGAAGGCGGCCCCCUCGGACAGAUACUGACACUCAGACUGCGAAAGCGUGGGGAGCCAAACAGGAUUAGACUACCCUGGUAG